rnacentral:rRNA from 1 species
UGCCAGCCGCCGCGGUAAGACGGAGGGUGCAAACGUUGUUCGGAAUCACUGGGCAUAAAGAGCAUGUAGGCGGUCCGCUAAGUCCGAUGUGAAAGCCCCCGGCUCAACCGGGGAACUGCAUUGGAUACUGGCAGACUUGAGGAUGGUAGGGGUGAGUGGAACUCCAGGUGGAGCGGUGAAAUGCGUAGAUAUCUGGAGGAACACCUGUGGCGAAAGCGGCUCACUGGACCAUUUCUGACGCUGAGAUGCGAAAGCUAGGGUAGCGAACGGGAUUAGAUA